GUCACGAGGAACUGCACUGCUGAGAAGAGCUGCAUGUGAGAAGAACUGCUCAGAAGGAAUCAGAUAAACCUAUCAAAUAAGGAAAAUACCGGCCUUCAUCUUCAGACCUCCAGGAGGCGGACUAUGACCACCUAGCAGCAGGAGAAGAAUACGCAGAGUACUACCCUGAAAGACACGUCAACCUGGACUGUAUAAAAACUCCACGAAAUAUCAGAAGAGCGUGGGCCGUUGGUGGAGCCGUGACUCCACGGCCACACCCAGCGCUCCUGGGAUACCGGCAAGAUGGUGUCACAAAUGCUACCGAAAGCAUUACAUGGCAAGAAAUGAAAGUUCCUUUUUUUAUUACACAUAUCCAUGUCAGCAAUCACUGUUAUAACAUCCAAAUUAAGUACCUGUAGGCAAAACAGGGAAAAAUAUUGAAUUGCAAGAAACUUAGGAAAAAAUGGUAAUAGAUUUGGAAUUGAAUGUCCAAAAGGAGAGAGACGGAUUUGUUUUACAUUUGAUCUUAGAGAUAUAGUCCAAGAUUUGGUAAAAGAACAAUUAGUAAACAAAAAGUUAAAACCAGCACAGCAAUCUAACUCUGUAUUGGCCUCAAAUUAUAUGCUGAAUAGUAUUAUAAGAUUCCAAGUAGUUAUAGAUAUGAUAACAAACAAAGCUGCUCGAGCAGUGGAAUUAAUAUGAAGUCAGCAAAGCCAAACAAAAACUGUAGUGUAUCAGAAUAGGCUGGCUUUAGACUAUUUACUGGCUAAAGAAGGGGGUGGUUCUGGAAAGUUUAAUAUAUCAGAUUGUUGAAAAUAGAUGACAACAGGGAUGUCAUCCUGGAAAAAGCAAAAGAUAUCAGAAAAAUAACCCAGGUACCGGUCCAAAAUCAAGAAACAAUGUUAAAAACUAGCUGGUGGGGUAAUGUAUUUGGGAUGGAAUGGUGGAAGAAGUUAAGACUUCUUCCUUUUAAGUGUUACAACUGUUUUGAUGUUUCUUCCCUGUUUUAUUCGGCUAAUUACCAGCGUAAUCCAAAGAAUGCAAGUGGACAAGAAAUAUUGCUGAAGCCAAAUGAU